rnacentral:rRNA from 1 species
GAUAAGGAAGGCACACCAGGGAGUGGAGCCUGCGGCUUAAUUUGACUCAACACGGGGAACCUCACCCGGCCCGAACACUGUUAUGACAGACAGGUUGAGAGCUCUUUCUCGAUUCAGUGGUUGGUGGUGCAUGGCCGUUCUUAGUUCGUGGAGCGAUCUGUCUGGUUAAUUCCGAUAACGAACGAGACUCUUGCCUGCUAAAUAGACGGCGUCGACCUCGUCGGCGGCCGUUCGCUUCUUAGAGGGACAAGCGGCUUUUAGCCGCGUGAAGCCGAGAGCAAUAACAGGUCAGUGAUGCCCUCAGAUGUUCGGGGCCGCACGCGCGCUACACUGUUUGCAUCAGCGUGUUUCUCCCGCGCCGGCUGGCGUGGGCAACCCGUUGAACCGCAAACGUGCUAGGGAUCGGAGAUUGCAAUUGUUCUCCGUGAACGAGGAAUUCCUUGUACUGGCGAGUCAUCAGCUCGCGGGGAAUCUGUCCCUGCCCUUUGUACACACCGCCCGUCGCUACUACCGAUUGAGUGGUUUAGUGAGGCUCACGGACUGCGCGCGGCACACCGGCGCUCUCGGGCGUCGCGUCGCGAUGCGGAAAGUGAGACGAACCUUGAUCACU